rnacentral:pre_miRNA from 1 species
AGUGGAGUUACUGGGUCAUAUGGUAACUCUAACUUUUGAGAAACUGCUAGACUAUUUUUCAAAGCAGCUGCACCAUUUUAUAUUUCCACUUGUAAU